AGGAUAGGUGGGAGACUGUGAAGCGGKSACGCYAGUKWYYGUGGAGUCRUUGUUGAAAUACCACUCUGGUCACUCUGGAUAUCUAACUUCGAACCCUGAUCSGGUUCAGGGACAGUGCCUGRUGGGUAGUUUAACUGGGGCGGUUGCCUCCCAAAAUGUAACGGAGGCGCCCAAAGGUUCCCUCAACCUGGUUGGCAAUCAGGUGGCGAGUGUAAGUGCACAAGGGAGCUUGACUGUGAGACUGACARGUCGAGCAGGGACGAAAGUCGGGACUAGUGAUCCGGCRSUGGCWUGUGGAAGCGCYGUCGCUCAACGGAUAAAAGGUACCUCGGGGAUAACAGGCUGAUCUUGCCCAAGAGUCCAUAUCGACGGCAUGGUUUGGCACCUCGAUGUCGGCUCGUCGCAUCCUGGGGCUGGAGUAGGUCCCAAGGGUUGGGCUGUUCGCCCAUUAAAGCGGUACGCGAGCUGGGUUUAGAACGUCGUGAGACAGUUCGGUCCCUAUCCGCUGCGCGCGCAGGAAAUUUGAGAAGGGCUGUCCUUAGUACGAGAGGACCGGGUYGGACGAACCUCUGGUGUGU
rnacentral:ncRNA from 1 species